GACGAACGCUGGCGGCGUGCUUAACACAUGCAAGUCGAACGGAAAGGCCCCAGCUUGCUGGAGUACUCGAGUGGCGAACGGGUGAGUAACACGUGGGUAAUCUGCCCUGCACUCUGGGAUAAGCCUGGGAAACUGGGUCUAAUACUGGAUAUGACCUUUCUCCUCAUGGGGUUUGGUGGAAAGUUUUUCGGUGUAGGAUGAGCCCGCGGCCUAUCAGCUUGUUGGUGGGGUGAUGGCCUACCAAGGCGACGACGGGUAGCCGGCCUGAGAGGGUGAUCGGCCACAUUGGGACUGAGAUACGGCCCAGACUCCUACGGGAGGCAGCAGUGGGGAAUAUUGCACAAUGGGCGGAAGCCUGAUGCAGCGACGCCGCGUGAGGGAUGACGGCCUUCGGGUUGUAAACCGCUUUCAGCUGGGACGAAGCGUAAGUGACGGUACCUGCAGAAGAAGCACCGGCUAACUACGUG
rnacentral:rRNA from 1 species